GCUAUUGAACCCAUAAAUUGGAGUAAAAUCAAGAAGCAAAAAAGAAAUGACUACUAAAAAAGAUUAAAAUCGCUAAUUUAAACCAGCCGAACAAAAAAAAUUUCAAAUAAUAGACCAGAUCGCUAUGAGAUCCCAGAAAUACUAACAUAAAUCCAAGAAAAAAAAAAUUCAAUCUAAGAACACUCAUCAGAUCUAGAUCGAACACCAACCC
rnacentral:lncRNA from 1 species